rnacentral:tRNA from 2 species
UUUAAUAUGGCAGAAUAGUGCAAUGGACUUAAGCCCCAUACAUAAAAAUAAAACUUUUAUUAAAA